rnacentral:rRNA from 1 species
GAUGAACGCUGGCGGCGUGCCUAAUACAUGCAAGUCGAGCGAACAGAUAAGGAGCUUGCUCCUUUGACGUUAGCGGCGGACGGGUGAGUAACACGUGGAUAACCUACCUAUAAGACUGGGAUAACUUCGGGAAACCGGAGCUAAUACCGGAUAACAUAUUGAACCGCAUGGUUCAAUAGUGAAAGGCGGCUUUGCUGUCACUUAUAGAUGGAUCCGCGCCGUAUUAGCUAGUUGGUAAGGUAACGGCUUACCAAGGCAACGAUACGUAGCCGACCUGAGAGGGUGAUCAGCCACACUGGAACUGAGACACGGUCCAGACUCCUACGGGAGGCAGCAGUGGGGAAUAUUGCGCAAUGGGCGAAAGCCUGACGGAGCAACGCCGCGUGAGUGAUGAAGGUCUUCGGAUCGUAAAGCUCUGUUAGCAGGGAAGAACAAAUGUGUAAGUAACUGUGCACAUCUUGACGGUACCUGAUCAGAAAGCCACGGCUAACUACGUG